AAUUUUGGACAAUGGGGGCAACCCUGAUCCAGCCAUCCCGCGUGUGCGAUGAAGGCCUUCGGGUUGUAAAGCACCUUUGGCAGGGAAGAAAAGCCACCGGUUAAUACCUGGCGGUGCUGACGGUACCUGCAGAAUAAGCACCGGCUAACUACGUGCCAGCAGCCGCGGUAAUACGUAGGGUGCAAGCGUUAAUCGGAAUUACUGGGCGUAAAGCGUGCGCAGGCGGUUCGGCAAGAAAGAUGUGAAAUCCCAGGGCUCAACCUUGGAACUGCAUUUUUAACUCCCGGACUAGAGUAUGUCAGAGGGGGGUGGAAUUCCACGUGUAGCAGUGAAAUGCGUAGAGAUGUGGAGGAACACCGAUGGCGAAGGCAGCCCCCUGGGAUAAUACUGACGCUCAGGCACGAAAGCGUGGGUAGCAAACAG
rnacentral:rRNA from 1 species